rnacentral:ncRNA from 1 species
GUGUUGUAUGAAAGGAGAGAAGGUUAGCACUCCCUUGAUGAGGAUGGAAGAGGCUCCCAGGCCUGACAACACGCAUAUGGUUAAGACAUUACCUCCUACUUUGUGGCAGCUAAGCAUGGUUUAUU